rnacentral:rRNA from 1 species
UACGUAGGGCGCAAGCGUUAUCCGGAAUUAUUGGGCGUAAAGAGCUCGUAGGCGGUUUGUCGCGUCUGCCGUGAAAGUCCGGGGCUCAACUCCGGAUCUGCGGUGGGUACGGGCAGACUAGAGUGAUGUAGGGGAGACUGGAAUUCCUGGUGUAGCGGUGGAAUGCGUAGAGAUCGGGAAGAACAUCAGUGGCGAAGGCGGUCUGCUGGGCCGUUGCUGACGCUGAGGCACGAAAGCGUGGGGAGCAAACAGG